rnacentral:misc_RNA from 1 species
GGAAGUAAAAGUCGUAACAAGAUCUCCGUAGGUGAACCUGCGGAGGGAUCAUUACAGAGUUCGUGCCCUCACGGGUAGAUCUCCCACCCUGUGUUAUUAUUCCUUUGUUGCUUUGGCGGGCCGCCCUCGGCUACCGGCCCCGGCUGGUACGCGCCCGCCAGAGGACCCCAAACUCUGAAUGUUAGUGUCGUCUGAGUACUAUACAAUAGUUAAAACUUUCAACAACGGAUCUCUUGGUUCUG